UCCGGAUUAACUCCGGCAGUUUCCUUAGAGUUCUCAGCUUGACCUGUUAGCAACAAAGGAUGAGGGUUGCGCUCGUUGCGGGACUUAACCCAACAUCUCACGACACGAGCUGACGACAGCCAUGCAGCACCUGUGCUCCUCCCACCCGAAGUGAAGAAACGAGUCUCCUCGUCUCAUAGAGGGCAUGUCAAGGCCUGGUAAGGUUCUUCGCGUUGCCUCGAAUUAAACCACAUGUUCCACCGCUUGUGCGGGUCCCCGUCAAUUUCUUUGAGUUUUAAUCUUGCGACCGUACUCCCCAGGCGGGGUGCUUAACGCGUUAACUACGCCACUGGCCCGCCAAAACUGAAAGACUAUUUCAAUUUUGGUAGGCCAACGGCUAGCACCCAUCGUUUAUGGCGUG
rnacentral:misc_RNA from 1 species